AACGAACGCUGGCGGCAUGCCUAACACAUGCAAGUCGAACGAGACCUUCGGGUCUAGUGGCGCACGGGUGCGUAACGCGUGGGAAUCUGCCCUUGGGUUCGGAAUAACAGUUGGAAACGACUGCUAAUACCGGAUGAUGACGUAAGUCCAAAGAUUUAUCGCCCAAGGAUGAGCCCGCGUAGGAUUAGCUAGUUGGUGAGGUAAAGGCUCACCAAGGCGACGAUCCUUAGCUGGUCUGAGAGGAUGAUCAGCCACACUGGGACUGAGACACGGCCCAGACUCCUACGGGAGGCAGCAGUGGGGAAUAUUGGACAAUGGGCGAAAGCCUGAUCCAGCAAUGCCGCGUGAGUGAUGAAGGCCUUAGGGUUGUAAAGCUCUUUUACCCGGGAUGAUUAUGACAGUACCGGGAGAAUAAGCUCCGGCUAACUCCGUG
rnacentral:rRNA from 1 species